rnacentral:rRNA from 1 species
AGGACGAACGCUGGCGGCGUGCUUAACACAUGCAAGUCGAGCGACGCUCCCCUUUCGGGGGAUGACGGAGCGGCGAACGGGUGAGUAACACGUGGGCAACCUGCCCCUAGCUCUGGGACAACACCGGGAAACCGGUGCUAAUACCGGAUACGACACCGAGCGGCAUCUCUCGGUGUGGAAAGUUUUUUCGGCUAGGGAUGGGCCCGCGGCCUAUCAGCUUGUUGGUGGGGUAAUGGCCUACCAAGGCGACGACGGGUAGCCGGCCUGAGAGGGCGACCGGCCACGACUGGGACUGAGACACGGCCCAGACUCCUACGGGAGGCAGCAGUGGGGAAUAUUGCGCAAUGGGCGAAAGCCUGACGCAGCGACGCCGCGUGAGGGAUGACGGCCUUCGGUUGUAAACCUCUUUCAGCAGGGACGAAUUCAGACGGUACCUGCAGAAGAAGCACCGGCCAACUACGUGCCAGCAGCCGC